GCAGACUCAACUCUGUUUAAGUCUGACAAAUCCAGCCUUAGACUUUUUAUGUCUGCGACAGUAACGUUAUAAGAAGAACGUUAUAACCUGCCUUGCCAUUCACUUGGGAGGUGACCGUGUCUUCUCAGACAAAAUG
rnacentral:snoRNA from 1 species